AUGCAACUCUAUAGAUAUCUGAUAAGCCAACAAGGACAGAAAGAAUGCGGACGAGAACAGCUAUAUAAAAGCUCAAAGCGCAAAGGCUACAUUUCAGGAAAAUCCUUCAUGGAACAAGCAGGGAAAGGAGAUACACAAAUGGAGGGCUCCAUGCUAAAUGCGUUACUGGACGAAUGGACAGAACAGGAACAGUUCAACCCAGACAUCACAACUGUACUCCCUGCAGAAUUCGCAAAUAUGGUGCUAGGUCUCAAUUAUAAGAGAGGAGAGCUAUCAGAAUUCAACAAAGACGAUGCACUACAAGCAUUUGAACAACUCGUGCGAGGUAAAAACACCCUGCAUUCGAAGAUGAUCAUGAUACCUCAUCACACAGACAACCACUACACGCUAUAUGUAAUGAACAAGUACAGAGAUAGCAUCGACAUCCUUGACUCACUAAACUAUGUAAACUACGCCGAUUUCUCUUGGAGUAAACACCAUGUGCAUCGAGCAGAACUAAUGAGAAGGAUGUCGGUGCUGAUGAACAAGUACCACCAACUAAAACAGAAGAACGAACCAGACUGGGCAAGGAUAGCAGAAAGGCCUCACAGGGUCUACACACCAAAGCAAGAAGGAACACAAUGCGGAUGCUUCACGGCCCAAUUUGCGAAACACUGGAAUGGGAAAGAGCUGGUCAAGGAUAGAGAGGAUUUUCAUCCCAGCAAGGUGGAUGCCGAAUGGAAACCAGAGUACGUAUUCACACUGAUAUUCGGUGAAACCAACCAAUUAAAGCACCAUCAACUUCCUAAAAAAAUCAAAGUUUUCAAAUCAGAGACUAUAAACCUUUUUUCGCCCAUGAAAGAGCGAGACGAAAAAAACCAACAUCAAUCAAGGAGCUCCAACAAAUACCUGCAACACCGGCAUUCGCUUAAACACGUGCGUAAGGUAAACGAGCUCUACGACAUAGUCAUGAGUGACACAUGGCAGGACAAAUUCAAAAGACAAGUAGUAUUCUCGAGAGAUCAACCACAGAGGAACAACAUAACUCUCACUGGAUCAAACCUAAAGGAAAUAUUUGGGCCUGCAAACAAGAAAAAACAUCAAGGAAUGGAAAAGAAGGUAUUCAUGCCAUUUGAAAAGGAAGACCGAUACACACUAUUCGUGCUCGACAAAUAUAGAAGGAAGCUUCAAAUCAUCGAGCCUGAAGAAACCUCUCUUGCAGAAUUGAAGAGGCAAGAAUACCUGAAAAAUCAACGUGCUCACCACGUGCAUGAUGGCAAACUAAGUAAACAAAUUGUUGACAUGGAAAUCAACGAAGCCAACAAAGAAAAGGAGCAUAACAAAUACCACAACCAUAAAGACAAACUGGUCCCCAGGUUUAAGAAAGUAUAUGAAAUAUUACUCAAUGAAAAAUUCGAAAAGGAAAAGACUAAAUGGGAAGUUUAA
rnacentral:rRNA from 1 species